rnacentral:rRNA from 1 species
AAGAGGCCGCAGAGAAGAGGCUCAAGCGACUGUUUAGCAAAAACACAGGUCUCUGCUAAAUCGAAAGAUGACGUAUAGGGGCUGACGCCUGCCCGGUGCUGGAAGGUUAAGGGGAGUGCUUAGCGCAAGCGAAGGUGCGAACUUAAGCCCCAGUAAACGGCGGCCGUAACUAUAACGGUCCUAAGGUAGCGAAAUUCCUUGUCAGGUAAGUUCUGACCCGCACGAAAGGCGUAACGAUUUGAGCGCUGUCUCGACAACACACCCGGUGAAAUUGUAGUACUCGUGAAGAUGCGAGUUACCCGCGACAGGACGGAAAGACCCCGUAGAGCUUUACUGCAAUCUGGCAUUGGAUUUUGAUAUAACAUGUACAGGAUAGGUGGGAGGCUAAGAACCAUGUGCGCCAGCAUGUGGGGAGCCACCCUUGGGAUACCACCCCUGUUAUAUUGGAAUUCUAACGAGUGGCUGUAAUCCAGCCAUCGGACAGUGUCAGAUGGGCAGUUUGACUGGGGCGGUCGCCUCCUAAAAAGUAUCGGAGGCGCCUAAAGUUACCCUCAGGAUGGUUGGAAACCAUCUGUAAGAGUGCAAAGGCAGAAGGGUGAUUGACUGCGAGAGAGACAUCUCGAGCAGGGACGAAAGUCGAGCUUAGUGAUCCGGUGGUCCCGAGUGGAAGGGCCAUCGCUCAACGGAUAAAAGCUACCUCGGGGAUAACAGGCUUAUCUCCCCCAAGAGUCCACAUCGACGGGGAGGUUUGGCACCUCGAUGUCGGCUCGUCUCAUCCUGGGGCUGAAGCAGGUCCCAAGGGUUGGGCUGUUCGCCCAUUAAAGAGGCACGCGAGCUGGGUUCAGAACGUCGUGAGACAGUUCGGUCCCUAUCCGUCGUGGGCGCAAGAAAUUUGAGAGGAGCUGUUCCUAGUACGAGAGGACCGGAACGGACGAACCUCUGGUGCAUCGGUUGUCCUGCCAAGGGCAUAGCCGGGUAGCCAAGUUCGGACGGGAUAAGUGCUGAAGGCAUCUAAGCACGAAGCCCCCCUUAAGAUAAGAUAUCUCAUUCGAAAGAAGUAAGGCCACUGGAAGACGACCAGGUAGAUAGGCUGGAGGUGGAAGUACGGUAACGUAUGGAGCUGACCAGUACUAAUCGGCCGAGGUCUUGAUCC